GGUUAGCCGAAAGAUGGUUAUCGGUUCAAGGACGCAAGGUGACCUUGCUUUUUUCAAGGUAAGAAGGGGUAGAGAAAAUGCCUUGAGCUAAUGUCCGAGUACCAAGUGCUACAACGCUGAAGUAACCCAUGCCAUACUCCCAGGAAAAGCUCGAACGACCUUUAACAAAUGGGUACCUGUACCCGAAACCGACACAGGUAGGUAGGUAGAGAAUACAUAGGGGCACGAGACAACUCUCUCUAAGGAACUCAGAAAAAUAGCCCCGUAGCUUCGGGAGAAGGGGUGCCUCCUCAGGAGGUCGCAGUGACCAGGCUCGGGCGACUGUUUACCAAAAGAACAGGUCUCUGCAAAGUCGUAAGACCAUGUAUGGGGGCUGACGCCUGCCCAGUGCCGGAAGGUUAAGGAAGUUGGUGACCUGAUGACGGGGAAGCCAGCGACCGAAGCCCCGGUGAACGACGGCCGUAACUAUAAUGGUCCUAAGGUAGCGAAAUUCCUUGUCGGGUAAGUUCCAACCCGCAUGAAAGGCGUAACGAUCUGGGCACUAUCUCAGAGAGAGACUCAGUGAAAUAGACAUGUCUGUGAAGAUGUGGACUACCUGCACCUGGACAGAAAGACCCUAUCAAGCUUUACUGUUCCCUAGGAUUGUCUUUGGGUUCUUCUUGCACAGAUUAGGUGGAAGGCGAAGAAGGCUCCCUCUCGGGGGGGCUUGAGCCAUCAGUGAGAUACCACUCUGGAAGAGCUAGAAUUCUAACCUUGUGUCAGGACUUACGGGCCAAGGGACAGUCUCAGGUAGACAGUUUCUAUGGGGCGUAGGCCUCCAAAAAGGUAACAGAGGCAUGCAAAGGUUUCCUCGGGCCAGACAGAAAUCGACCCUCAAGUGCAAAGGCAAAAGGGAGCUUGACUGCAAGACCCACCCAUCGAGCAGGGAUGAAAGUUGGCCUUAGUGAUCCGAUGGUGUCGAGUGGAAGGUUCUUCUCUCAACGGAUAAAAGUUACUCUAGGGAUAAUAGGCUGAUCUUCCCCAAGAGUUCACAUCGACGGGAAGGUUUGGCACCUCGAUGUCAGCUCUUCACCACCUGGGGCGGUAGUACGUUCCAAGGGUUGGGUUGUUCGCCCAUUAAAGCGAUACGUGAGCUGGGUUCAGAACGUCGUGAGAUAGUUCGGUCCAUAUCCGGUGCGGGUGUUAGAGCAUUGAGAGGACCUUUCCCUAGUACGAGAGGACCAGGAAGGACGCACCUCUGGUGUACCAGUUAUUGUGCCCAUGGUAGAUGCUGGGUAGCCAAGUGCAGAGCGGAUAA
rfam:Picea glauca, whole genome shotgun sequence.